AGUGGGAUAGCUAGGUCAAAGGUUGAUUCCAUUCCAAGUUUUCUGAGGAAUCUCCAUACUGCUUUUCAUAAUGGUUGCACCAAUUUGCAGUCCCACCAGCAAU
rnacentral:pre_miRNA from 1 species